rnacentral:rRNA from 1 species
AAUCAACGCUGGCGGCGUGCCUCAGACAUGCAAGUCGAACGCGAAAGUCCCCUUCGGGGGACAAGUAGAGUGGCGCACGGGUGAGUAACACGUAGGUAAUCUACCUUCGGAUGGGGAAUAACAACCGGAAACGGUUGCUAAUACCGCAUAAUGCAGCGGCACCUAAUGGUGACAGUUGUUAAAGGCGGGGGAUCGAAAGCCCCGNGUCUGAAGAGGAGCCUGCGGCGGAUUAGCUAGUUGGAAGGUAAUGGCUUACCAAGGCGACGAUCCGUAGCCGGCCUGAGAGGGCGGUCGGCCACACUGACACUGACAGUACGGGUCAGACUCC